rnacentral:rRNA from 1 species
CAAUAGCGUAUAUUAAAGUUGUUGCGGUUAAAAAGCUCGUAGUUGGAUUUCUGCCGAGGACGUCCGGUCCGCCCUCUGGGUGAGUACAUGGCACGGCCUGGGCAUCUUCUUGGGGAACGUAUCUGCACUUGACUGUGUGGUGCGGUAUCCAGGACUUUUACUUUGAGGAAAUUAGAGUGUUUCAAGCAGGCACACGCCUUGAAUACAUUAGCAUGGAAUAAUAAGAUAGGACCUCGGUUCUAUUUUGUUGGUUUCUAGAGCUGAGGUAAUGAUUAAUAGGGAUAGUUGGGGGCAUUCGUAUUUAACUGUCAGAGGUGAAAUUCUUGGAUUUGUUAAAGACGGAUUACUGCGAAAGCAUUUGCCAAGGAUGUUUNCAUUG